rnacentral:rRNA from 1 species
AAUCACUUGUCUUUUAAAUGAAGACCUGUAUGAAUGGCAUAACGAGGGCUUAACUGUCUCCUCUCUCCAGUCAAUGAAAUUGAUCUUCCCGUGCAGAAGCGGGAAUAUACACAUAAGACGAGAAGACCCUAUGGAGCUUUAGACACCAAGGCAGAUCAUGUUAAUAGUCCUGAAUAAAGGAACAAACCAGAUGGAAUCUGCCCUAAUGUCUUUGGUUGGGGCGACCGCGGGGAAUUAGAAAACCCCCACGUGGAAUGGGAGCACCCCUCCUACAACUAAGAGCUACAGCUCUAGUUAACAGAAAUUCUGACCAGCAAGAUCCGGCAAUGCCGAUCAACGGACCGAGUUACCCUAGGGAUAACAGCGCAAUCCUCUUUUAGAGCCCA